GAUGAACGCUGGCGGCAUGCCUAACACAUGCAAGUCGAUCGGUAAGGCUCUUCGGAGUCCCCGAGAGGCGGACGGCUGAGUAACGCGUAGGAACACACCCUGCAGUGAGGGAUAAGACACCGAAAGGUGUUCUAAUACCGCAUACGGUCUUCGGAUUAAAGCAUUUAUGCGCUGAAGGAGUGGCCUGCGUCAUAUUAGAUAGUUGGUGAGGUAAUGGCUCACCAAGUCGAUGAUGUGUAGCUGGUCUGAGAGGAUGAUCAGCCAGACUGGAACUGAGACACGGUCCAGACUCCUACGGGAAGCAGCAGUGAGGAAUAUUUCACAAUGAGCGAAAGCUUGAUGGAGCAAUGCCGCGUGCAGGAUGAAGGCCCUCGGGUUGUAAACUGCUUUUAUAAGAGAAGAUUAUGACGGUAACUUAUGAAUAAGGGACGGCUAACUACGUG
rnacentral:rRNA from 1 species